rnacentral:tRNA from 1 species
GGUUCUGUAGUGUAGCUGGCAUCACAGUACGUUGUGGCCGUACUAACCCGUGUUCGAAUCACGGCAGAGCCA